GCCGUACGUGAACUAUUAUAAAUGGAAAAAAUUGCGUUAAUGCUAAUGUUUUUCUGUUGGAUAACUAGAACCAAUUAUCUUCUGUAUUACCAUGCAGAUAUAUAUUUUUCUUUCCGAUAUUAUAUCUUUGUAUUGUUGUACAUUAUAGUGAUAUACAGAAAUUUGUAGAACGAUUGUACGCUACAAAAUUUAACCCCCUCAAUUGUAAUAAAUUGAUACGAUCAAUUGAGGGCCACGAAGUCAUCAGUGUUAGUUUACUACUGUAAAGUGUUAGCCUCGUUAAAUAAAGCCUAUAAUAAUAAUAAUAAUAAUAAUAAUAAUAAUUAUACGAAAACAUUUUUUCUUCCGGCACAAUCAUAUAUCUGAAAGUUUUCAUCGCCUCUCAUUGUCCUUGUGUUUUCAUGCUUUGCAGUUUUUAAGGCGGAUCUCCACCGGACGAUUUUCGAGACGAUCGUCAAAACAGUUCGCGACGACACGUGCGCAAUUGAAACAAAAUGUUCGAAGAGCGAUCGUCUAGCGCUGGACGAAAAGUAGGAUUGACUUCUACUUUUCGUCGAGCGCCAG